rnacentral:rRNA from 1 species
GACGAACGCUGGCGGCGUGCUUAACACAUGCAAGUCGAACGGACAGGCCCUGCUUUUGCGGGGUGCUUGAGUGGCGAACGGGUGAGUAACACGUGAGUAACCUGCCCUUGUAUUUGGGAUAACUUCAGGAAACUGGGGAUCAUACCGGAUAGGAGCUUCUGCUGCACGGGGGGGGUUGGAAAGUUGCGGCGGUUGGGGAUGGGCUAGGGGGUUAUCAGCUUGUUGGUGGGGUUGUGGCUUACCAAGGCUUUGACGGGUAGCCGGCCUGGGCGGGUGACCGGCGACAUUGGGACUGAGGGACGGCCCAGACUCCUACGGGAGGCAGCAGGGGGAAAUAUUGCACAAUGGGCGGAAGCCUGAUGCAGCAACGCCGCGUGCGGGAUAACGGCCUUCGGGGUGUAAACCGCUUUCGCCUGUGACGAAGCGUGAGUGACGGUAAUGGGUAAAGAAGCACCGGCUAACUACGUG